AUACGUAGGUGACAAGCGUUAUCCGGAUUUACUGGGCGUAAAGGGCGUGUAGGCGGUCUUGCAAGUCAGAAGUGAAAUUCCUGAGCUCAACUCGGGCGCUGCUUCUGAAACUGCAGGACUUGAGUGCUGGAGGGGAUAGCGGAAUUCCUAGUGGAGCGGUAAAAUGCGCAGAUAUUAGGAAGAACACCGGUGGCGAAGGCGGUUAUCUGGACAGAAACUGACGCUGAGGCGCGAAAGCGUGGGGAGCAAACAGGAUUAGAUACCCUGGUUGUCCACGCCGUAAACGAUGAAUACUAGGUGUAGGGGGUAUCGACUCCCUCUGUGCCGCAGUUAACACAAUAAGUAUUCCGCCUGGGGAGUACGGCCGCAAGGUUGAAACUCAAAUGAAUUGACGGGG
rnacentral:rRNA from 1 species